rnacentral:misc_RNA from 1 species
GAUGAAGAACGCAGUGAAAUGCGAUACGUAAUGUGAAUUGCAGAAUUCAGUGAAUCAUCGAGUCUUUGAACGCACAUUGCGCCCUCUGGUAUUCCGGAGGGCAUGCCUGUCCGAGCGUCAUUGCUGCCCUCAAGCACGGCUUGUGUGUUGGGCUCCGUCCCCCGAUCCCGGGGGACGGGCCCGAAAGGCAGCGGCGGCACCGCGUCCGGUCCUCGAGCGUAUGGGGCUUUGUCACCCGCUCUGUAGGCCCGGCCGGCGCUUGCCGAUCAACCAAAUUUUUAUCCAGGUUGACCUCGGAUCAGGUAGGGAUACCCGCUGAACUUAAGCAUAUCAAUAAGCGGAGGA